UCGGGAUAGCUCAUUUGGUAGAGCAGAGGACUGAAAAUCCUC
rnacentral:tRNA from 1 species